AUUUAAGUAGUUUAAUUUUAAAAUAUUGACUUGUGACGUCAGCGAUGCUUGUGGCCUUAGAUA
rnacentral:tRNA from 1 species